rnacentral:rRNA from 1 species
UGCCCCUGACUCUGGGAUAAGCGCUGGAAACGGCGUCUAAUACUGGAUAUGUCCCGUCACCGCAUGGUGUGCGGGUGGAAAGAUUUUUCGGUUGGGGAUGGGCUCGCGGCCUAUCAGCUUGUUGGUGAGGUAAUGGCUCACCAAGGCGUCGACGGGUAGCCGGCCUGAGAGGGUGACCGGCCACACUGGGACUGAGACACGGCCCAGACUCCUACGGGAGGCAGCAGUGGGGAAUAUUGCACAAUGGGCGGAAGCCUGAUGCAGCAACGCCGCGUGAGGGAUGACGGCCUUCGGGUUGUAAACCUCUUUUAGCAGGGAAGAAGCGAGAGUGACGGUACCUGCAGAAAAAGCACCGGCUAACUACGUGCCAGCAGCCGCGGUAAUACGUAGGGUGCAAGCGUUAUCCGGAAUUAUUGGGCGUAAAGAGCUCGUAGGCGGUCUGUCGCGUCUGCUGUGAAAUCCCGAGGCUCAACCUCGGGCUUGCAGUGGGUACGGGCAGACUAGAGUGCGGUAGGGGAGAUUGGAAUUCCUGGUGUAGCGGUGGAAUGCGCAGAUAUCAGGAGGAACACCGAUGGCGAAGGCAGAUCUCUGGGCCGUAACUGACGCUGAGGAGCGAAAGGGUGGGGAGCAAACAGGCUUAGAUACCCUGGUAGUCCACCCCGUAAACGUUGGGAACUAGUUGUGGGGUCCUUUCCACGGAUUCCGUGACGCAGCUAACGCAUUAAGUUCCCCGCCUGGGGAGUACGGCCGCAAGGCUAAAACUCAAAGGAAUUGACGGGGACCCGCACAAGCGGCGGAGCAUGCGGAUUAAUUCGAUGCAACGCGAAGAACCUUACCAAGGCUUGACAUACACGAGAACGGGCCAGAAAUGGUCAACUCUUUGGACACUCGUGAACAGGUGGUGCAUGGUUGUCGUCAGCUCGUGUCGUGAGAUGUUGGGUUAAGUCCCGCAACGAGCGCAACCCUCGUUCUAUGUUGCCAGCACGUAAUGGUGGGAACUCAUGGGAUACUGCCGGGGUCAACUCGGAGGAAGGUGGGGAUGACGUCAAAUCAUCAUGCCCCUUAUGUCUUGGGCUUCACGCAUGCUACAAUGGCCGGUACAAUGGGCUGCGAUACCGUAAGGUGGAGCGAAUCCCAAAAAGCCGGUCCCAGUUCGGAUUGAGGUCUGCAACUCGACCUCAUGAAGUCGGAGUCGCUAGUAAUCGCAGAUCAGCAACGCUGCGGUGAAUACGUUCCCGGGUCUUGUACACACCGCCCGUCAAGUCAUGAAA